rnacentral:rRNA from 1 species
CGUGGGUGACCUGCCCUCGAGUGGGGAAUAACGCUGCGAAAGCAGCGCUAAUACCGCAUACUCUCAGUUCUUCAGUGAGCUGAGCAAAGCUUAAUGUGCUUGAGGAGGGGCCUGCGGCGGAUUAGCUAGUCGGUGGGGUAACGGCCUACCGAGGCGACGAUCCGUAGCUGGUCUGAGAGGAUGACCAGCCACACUGGGACUGAGACACGGCCCAG